UAAGCCCAUGCACUGAUCUUUAGAACAAGAUUAGAAACAAACUGAUUUCUGGCUUUGCAUUGGAUGAUUAAGAAUGCCAACUUUGCUUUAAGAUUGUUUAGAACUGUGGAUGGCAUUUUAGAAGAUUAUUGCGCUUCACUUGAUAAUAAACAUUCGUUUUAAAGAAGAAAUAUACAUGAAAAAAACUCUAUUUCCUCAAUGGUGCUGUAGUAGCAAUAUAAAUUAUAUUCUGAGAUUAACGACAUCUCUUGGACUCUGAAGAAUCAUGAGGUAGUGUUCACCAAAUGAUACUUUUUCAUUGCCAGAACUGACUUUUCUCCAGAAGGGAUGCAGCUUCUAAUCUAGAUCAUUUGACAAGAACACUCCAGGUACCUUGGUUAUGUUACCCAUCUCCAAGUCACAUUUGAGUGUUGGAACAUUUCCUAACCUCAUUGGAUUAGUUUGUUCUUUGCAUCCCAGAAUGUGCUUUUCAGAAGUGAUAAUCCCAGCAAACUGUCCUUUCUGCCUAUCAUCUUUGCCUUCGGUAUAUUAUUUUCUACCUGUAAUUUGGAUUUGGAUUCCAACUUGUAUGAGGUAUCUAUCUUGAUGCUGAGAAUCAUCCAAAAACCAAGAAAAAAUAGAGGGAUCAAGAAGAAAAGAUAAAAACAGAUAGGGGAGGAGAGGGAAGAGUCUAGUGAGGAAAUCUGUUAUUUGUCAAGUAUAAUUACACUAUAGAAUUAAGACUUCUUAUACAAACUUAACUUACAGAGACCAAUGAACUUUGGCACUGUGAUAUUAAAGUAGUUUUCAGGAAUGCAAAGUUAAGUUUAAAUUUGGUUGAAUGCUAAUCAACCAAAUACACACACACACACUCGCUCAGGAUGAUGAAUAAAUUGCUCAAACAAUUGAAACUAACACAUUACUAACUCAUACUGAUGCUUUAAUCUAAUGGGUGCAGAUGAAGUAAACAGUUUCAAGUGACAACAGAGCAGGAGAAGAAAUAUGAAACUACUUGUAAAAUGGUUUUCUCUUAUGGACAUUAAGUAGAGAUGGUAAAAGAAAAAAGAUGCAUCUUCUCUAUAAACAUUGAUGAUACAUUUAACAAGGUGAACAUGCUCAAUACCGGAAUUAAGAUUAGAUUAAUUCAAUGCGCUAGAAACAACAUCUAUUGACAAAGGCAAUGACUACGUGCAAAGUAGUCCAAUUUGGAGGAAAUAAAAAAAAUGCGUCCUUGGAAGAAAAGAUAAAAUGGUGGCAUCUUAGGACAGAAAUGCAAAUAAACAAGGCCAAAGAAGACACCUUUAUGUCCCCAAUGCAUGUUGCUGAAAAAUUGACGGAUUUUCCAAGAAAAGCUUCUCAAAGAUAUUGAACAAACGAUCACAAAAGAAGGUGAAAAUAUAAAAAACAAUCCCACUCCCAAACCCAUAUGGCAAAAACAUGAAUGCCAUCUCUUUAUGAUUGUAAAUUAUAACAAAUCCCUGCAAAUCCUAUGAUUCGAAAAUACACCCAAAAAUAUCCAUUUGGAGAAGUGGCUGAACUAGCUUUGAUAUUAAGAUUCAAGUAGUUUCUAAGAGAAUAAGAUCCAACUUCAAAUAAUAGCUAAAUUCCUAAAGAAAGCAGGAUCAUUGAAAAAGAAAAGCAUGAAAAUUGAAAUAGCAAAUUUUAAGUUUAGUGACAAUUGCAGGCACCCAAUCUUUUUAUUCACGUCACAAAGUAGAACAUAGACUCACUUCUUGCUCAACUCAACCCCAAGGCUUAAGAUAUAAUG
rnacentral:misc_RNA from 1 species